UUAGAUCUAGAACAUACGACAAGGCUAUAUGUAAGUUCAACCUACAUAUAUUAUACGGGAGAUUAUGUUCAUAUAUUAGUAUGAUAGGCCUGGACUUUUCUAGGAUUUCAGAAAUUAUGUGACUGAUCACCCACCUGGGUGAUUCCGGGUGUGAAUUUAAUUGGUCUACGGUGUUUUGGAAGGUAA
rnacentral:other from 1 species